rnacentral:rRNA from 1 species
AACUUAAAGGAAUUGACGGGACCCGCACAAGCAGCGGAGCGUGUGGUUUAAUUCGAUGCUACACGAAGAACCUUACCGGGUUUGACAUGCAAGUGGUAGGAAACUGAAAAGGGACCGACCCUUCGGGGAGCUUGCACAGGUGCUGCAUGGCUGUCGUCAGCUCGUGUCGUGAGAUGUUCGGUUAAGUCCGCUAACGAGCGCAACCCUCACUGUGUGUUACAUGUGUCACACGGGACUGCCGGUUUUAAGCCGGAGGAAGUGGGGAUGACGUCAAGUCAGCAUGGCCUUUAUAUCCUGGGCUACACACACGCUACAAUGGCCGGUACAAUAGGUUGCCAAACCGCAAGGUGGAGCCAAUCCCUAAAGCCGGCCUCAGUUCAGAUUGUAGGCUGCAACUCGCCUGCAUGAAGAUGGAGUUGCUAGUAACCGCAGGUCAGCAAUACUGCGGUGAAUACGUUCCCGGGUCUU